rnacentral:rRNA from 1 species
AGUGAACGCUGGCGGUAGGCCUAACACAUGCAAGUCGAACGGCAGCACAGUAAGAGCUUGCUCUUACGGGUGGCGAGUGGCGGACGGGUGAGGAAUACAUCGGAAUCUACUUUUUCGUGGGUGAUAACGUAGGGAAACUUACGCUAAUACCGCAUACGACCUACGGGUGAAAGCAGGGGAUCUUCGGACCUUGCCCGAUUGAAUGAGCCGAUGCCGGAUUAGCUAGUUGGCGGGGUAAAGGCCCACCAAGGCGACGAUCCGUAGCUGGUCUGAGAGGAUGAUCGGCCACACUGGAACUGAGACACGGUCCAGACUCCUACGGGAGGCAGCAGUAGGGAAUAUUGGACAAUGGGCGCAAGCCUGAUCCAGCCAUACCGCGUGAGUGAAGAAGGCCUUCGGGUUGUAAAGCCCUUUUGUUGGGAAAGAAAAGCAGCGGGUUAAUACCCCGCUGUUCUGACGGUACCCAAAGAAUAAGCACCGGCUAACUUCGUG